CCUCACCCGUGCAUUUAUUUUUAAAGAAUUAAAAAUGGCACCCACUUUUAUUUACUCGAUGUUGCAUCUUCCAACCCCAAACCCCGAAAAUGGUAAAUCAAUUCAUCUUCCAUUCUCAGUAUGUUAUUCUAAUCGCAGUAUCUCUUUUUGAAGCUACGGAUUGAAAUGUGUUUUGCUCAAAGGUUCAAUUCCUUUAGGUAUUCAAAUUUCUUUCUUCUUAAAUUUUUAAUUUAUAAGGGUUUUCUCCUAGAUCUGGUUGUUUAAUUAAGUUCUUGAUUUGUGCUUAAUUUGAAUAUGUUCUUUCUUUUAUGUUUUACAUGAAUUAUUCCCCUUGAAAAUUGAAAGUUAUCUCCAUUUAAAUUAGGGUUCACUUUUAAAUCUGGGUAAAUUUACGGUUGUAAGAAAUGGUAUAUCUGAUUAAAUGUGUGGAUUUCAUUAUAAGAAUUUUUUAUUCAGUCGAUUCGAUUGAAAUGGAAAUUGAGAAGUAAAUUCCUAAAGAGAAGUUGAAAAGCAGUAAGAAAUUAUGGGUUAAAGGUUUUGUGUUUCAAUUAGCAAAUCUAAAAUGAAUACUGUUUGGUUUAAUUAUCAUUUGUUUUUUUUUUCUGUAAAUUCUUAUUUUUUUUCUUUAAGUUAUGAAUUUCUAGAUUUUUUCUUAUUUGUCUUAAUUUAAAUUUUCUUUAAGCUCUAAAUUUAUGCUAUCUAACAAAUGUCUUGAUUUGAAUGCUUGAUAUAUAUUAUUGGGAUAAUUAAAAUUUGGAAUGAAUAUUGAUGGGUUAAAUUGUCAAUCAUGCUUCCUCAAUGCCGUUUUUAAUUUCAGAGUUCCACCGAUGACAUAACUAAUUAAAAUCCUCUUAUAAGGAUGUAGCAAACAUAUAUCUAGUGUGGUGAUGAUUUUCACUAUGCAGAGUAGAUUAUAUUGGAGGUGAAAGGAUGGUUGUAUGUCAGACCAUGGUCCUUGUGGCCUGGUGGGAAACUUUUCCCCUAUGGUUAUAGUGGCUUUGGGGAGUGCUAGACAGGUGGUGGUCAUGACUAGGUGGGAUUUGAGUAAAAGAAGAUAGAUUCAAUGGAUCAGGUAUGCAUUUUUUUACCUACAAUUUUUAUGCUUAACACAUAAAUCAAUCCAUAUACUAAGCUUAUAUAUGGUACUUAAGAGCAGAAUAUCCUUGUGUGCAUUUGAUCUCUAUAUACUAAAACAUUCUUAUUAUGGAGCAUAUUGGCACAUUUCUUAACAAUUUAUUUCAUUCUCCAUGGAUUCAAGAAAGUUCAAUUUAUUAGCUAAGUUCAUCCAUUUUUCUUGGAAUGUUUUAUAAGUUGUUAUAUUUUUUUUUUAUAGUUGCUCAAUGCAUUAGUUUUUUUGGAGAAGGGGUGCUAUGACGGUGCCAAGAACAAGGAGCCAGCAACUUUGUGAUUACAUUUCCUAGAUCUUAUCAUGGAGGUUUCAAUCUUGGCUUGAACUGUGCUGAGGCUGCUAAUUUUGCUCUUGCUGAUUGGUUACCUCAUGGAGGGUUUGGAUCAGAACUGUAUCAUAAGCCUACUGUACUUUCUCAUGAUGAGGUGCUUUGCGUGGCUGUUAAGAUUGGUUGUGAUGCCAAAGUAGCACCGUACAUGAAUAAGGAGUUACUGAGGGUCUUUACAGAAGAGAAGAAUGGGAGGUAGCAGCUUUGGAAAAAGGGCCUUGUCAAAACAACAUCUGUUAUGUCACCCCGAAGACAUCCUGAGUAUGUUGGCACUGAGUAGGAUCCCACUUUCAUAAUAUGCCAGCACUAUUUGUAUCUUUCAGCUGUUGUCUGUCGCUGUAGACCAUCCACUUUUGUGUGUUUAAAGCACUGGGAGCGCCUUUGUGAAUGUAAUCCAAGGAAAUGCCGCCUCCGAUAUCGCCACUCUCUUGCGGGAUUAAACAAAUUGUUAUUCAUAACAAAGAAUGUAAUAUCAUAACUAAUUUCUUAGAAACAUUGUUUUGCUAGCUAGUUUUGCUCUUGUAUGAAUAUUUGUAUACAAUAAAAUGAGUUUUUUUUUUUUUAAAAAAUUAUUUAAUUAUUUUGGAAUUUUUUGUAGCACAAUGAUAUUUAUAAGAUGUCUUCAA